AUUGAACGCUGGCGGCAUGCUUUACACAUGCAAGUCGAACGGUAACAGGGAGCUUGCUCCGCUGACGAGUGGCGAACGGGUGAGUAAUGCGUCGGAACGUGCCGAGUAGUGGGGGAUAACGCAGCGAAAGUUGUGCUAAUACCGCAUACGUACUGAGGGAGAAAGUGGGGGACCUUCGGGCCUCACGCUAUUCGAGCGGCCGACGUCUGAUUAGCUAGUAGGUGAGGUAAAGGCCGACCAAGGCGACGAUCUGUCGCGGGUCUGAGAGGAUGAUCCGCCACGCUGGAACUGAGACACGGUCCAGACUCCUACGGGAGGCAGCAGUGGGGAAUUUUGGACAAUGGGGGCAACCCUGAUCCAGCCAUGCCGCGUGAGUGAAGAAGGCCUUCGGGUUGUAAAGCUCUUUCGGCCGGGAAGAAAUCGGUGAGGCUAAUACCCUCACUGGAUGACGGUACCGGAAUAAGAAGCACCGGCUAACUACGUGCCAGCCGCCGCAGUAAAAC
rnacentral:rRNA from 1 species